AGUGUCUCCAGUAGGGGUUCCCUUAUGCAAACUACCUCCACACUUCCCUCCUCAUAUAAUCAGUUAAUGUGCACCUCAAUUACAGCCAUCAGAGAAGAACAUCUGUUAUCAGUUCAGCUGCAUGACAAACCAUGAUCCGUACAUCUCAGCUUCUGCUAUUGUUGAUAGCUGCCACACAUGUCCACAUGGAGGAGCUCAAUCAGCCAGCUUCUGUGAAUAUCCAGCCCAGUCAAAGCUUGACCAUCCAAUGUAGGGUCUCAUAUUCUAUCACUACCUAUGCAACUGGAUGGAUAAGACAGGCUUCAGGGGGACCACUAGAGUGGGUCGGGCUUGUUGACACUGAUGGGAGCUUGUACUACAAGGACUCUUUGAAAAACAAGUUCACCCUCUCCAGAGACACCUCCAGUAAAACACUGACUCUACAGGGCCAGAAUCUGCAGGCUGAAGACACAGCUGUGUAUUACUGUGCACGGGAGGCACAGUGACUGAAUGCAAUGGCCAGGCU